rnacentral:rRNA from 1 species
UACGUAGGGUGCAAGCGUUAAUCGGAAUUACUGGGCGUAAAGCGUGCGCAGGCGGUUGUGCAAGACAGAUGUGAAAUCCCCGGGCUUAACCUGGGAACUGCAUUUGUGACUGCACGGCUAGAGUGUGUCAGAGGGGGGGUAGAAUUCCACGUGUAGCAGUGAAAUGCGUAGAUAUGCGGAGGAACACCGAUGGCGAAGGCAGCUCGCUGGGACGUUACUGACGCUGAGACGCGAAAAGCGUGGGGGAGCAAACAGG